CCUUUGCCUCCUGUUGUUCAACCAGCAUACGAACAAAUCUAAAAUCUACCUGCAUUGCAUAUAUUGGCUCUGAUACUUUGGUCUUCAAAUAAAACUAAAAUCUCCUACCUCUGCUGAUGGUAACUCAUAUUUACAAACUAUAUCAUCUGGAAGAAGAAUAGUAUGCUUCAAGAAAGAAGUUCUUAAAUUUUUUAAAAGGUGGGGAACAUCCGCAAUAAAAUGCAGGCAAGAACUUGGUGAAAAAGGAUGUGGAAUUUUGCAAACAACCUGAUCCCUGGUGCAACAGUAAUACAAGAUGUUAGAAAUUAAACCAACUGCAAACAAUUACUUAGUCUAAACAGUGUUUAAAGCAGGUUUAACUUUUGUAUAAGUAUUAAAACCUGUUAGAAACAAUUCCCGCAGCUUUCCACAUUCCCUGAUUAGCAGCACCCAUGUCACUGACAAUGGCGUUUACAAGAUACCCACGAUUUCCAAGUUCCAUUACAAGUUGCUUUGUCAAACACCACAACUCUUUUCCAACAAUUGAGUUUCCAGUGUAAAAAUAUGCUAGAUAUAAAAUAGGAUUUGAAAAGGACGCAGCCUCCCUUUACUUAUUAUUAAAUACAUUUUAUUGUAAAAAAAGGUCCGGGCAAUUGACCAAAAGUAUUUCUUAGCUCCUUUUUAAGUUUUUUUAUACCUUUUUUGAAACUUUAUUCUAUUAAAUUGAUGUUAUAACAUCGCAUCACUCUAAUUGUUUGGUAUGCGGGAUUCAGCUUGCCCUAAAAUUGUUUCAUGGUCUAGUUGCAAAUUCUUGUUUAUGUAUGUAAAGAAUCCCAUUUGAUCAUCUUCCGCAUGACGCACAACUUACUAUUAAAUUGACAUGUGUACAGGCUGCAGCAAGCAAAUUUUAAAACACAAAUUGUAUUUGCCAAACAUUUUAUUAAAAUUUCUAAAACGAAGAGCAAAACAUAAUAAUGUAUAGCAAAAUUGUUAUAGAUUUAGGAAGAGUCAAGGAUUUUUUUAGUAAUGAAAAAACUUUUUUCUUGCUCAAUUUAAUAGAGGAUCCAGGAAUCCUUUGAAGGAUCAUACUUUACCAACCAAAGGCAGGGACGCAGGGUUUUUCAUGGGGAGCUGUCAAAUCAAUACAUCUUUCUCGUCUGUUCAGGUCACUUUGUUCAGCAGCACCUGCAACAAUAAAAAGAGAAGACGCAAAAUCUGCUUUUGGUGAUGGGUCAUACUCAACAGCUUUAGCAAUUUGGACCUCAUCAACUAGAAUACAGCAAGAGCGCUCGUGGGGUUGAAGUCCAAGCAUUUUAAUUUUCAUCCAGUCCAAGAUGACAU